rnacentral:rRNA from 1 species
UAGGGAAUCUUCCGCAAUGGACGCAAGUCUGACGGAGCAACGCCGCGUGAGUGAAGAAGGAUUUCGGUUCGUAAAACUCUGUUGUUCGAGAAGAACAGCGCAUAGAGUAACUGUUAUGCGUGUGACGGUAUCUAACCAGAAAGCCACGGCUAACUACGUGCCAGCAGCCGCGGUAAUACGUAGGUGGCAAGCGUUGUCCGGAUUUAUUGGGCGUAAAGCGAGCGCAGGCGGUCAAUUAAGUCUGAUGUGAAAGCCCCCGGCUCAACCGGGGAGGGUCAUUGGAAACUGGUUGACUUGAGUGCAGAAGAGGGGAGUGGAAUUCCAGGUGUAGCGGUGAAAUGCGUAGAUAUAUGGAGGAACACCAGGGGCGAAGGCGACUCUCGGGUCUGUAACUGACGCUGAGGCUCGAAAGCGUGGGUAGCAAACAGG